GGCACAGAACGAACGCUGGCUUCGUGCCUAAUACAUGCAAGUCGAGCGGACUUGAUGGAGUGCUUGCACUCCUGAUGGUUAGCGGCGGACGGGUGAGUAACACGUGGGUAACCUGCCCAUAAGACUGGGAUAACAUUCGGAAACGAAUGCUAAUACCGGAUACGCGGUUUGGUCGCAUGGCCGAACCGGGAAAGACGGAGCAAUCUGUCACUUAUGGAUGGACCCGCGGCGCAUUAGCUAGUUGGUGAGGUAACGGCUCACCAAGGCGACGAUGCGUAGCCGACCUGAGAGGGUGAUCGGCCACACUGGAACUGAGACACGGUCCAGACUCCUACGGGAGGCAGCAGUGGGA
rnacentral:rRNA from 1 species